rnacentral:lncRNA from 1 species
CUAAAUCCUCCUGGAUCUCAGAGGAUCUAAAUCCUCCUGGAUCUCAGAGGAUCUUAAUCCUCCUGGAUCUCAGAGGAUCUGUCUCUCCUGUUGGAGGAGAACGUUUGAUGUUAGAAGAUCCUCGCAGAAACCUGAUGGUGGAGCAUCUUUGAAGAAAGGAAAAAUGAUUAAAAAUAACGACCUUUCAGUCAGAAUCCGGGUCGGGCGGUCCGGUUUCCUCUGCCUUCACCUUUGUGCCCCCUCCCCCAUGCUUCCAGGGUAAUGGAGGUGUCUGCAGACGGAUCUCUCAGCGAGUCUCUGCUGGCGUUGUCGAGCGUUCUGGAGAACAGGCUGUAUCCUGCAGCUGAAGGAUUGUGGUCCAGAGAGGCGACCACCUCCCCCAGUAGCUCAUUUCCGUUGGCUCCGCCCAGCACGCGGCUCAGAGCCUGGUAGAAGGGCAUGGAGUCGUCGACCCGACCGGGCAGAACCUCGAACUCCUGGACAGAAAUGGUCAUGUGACCUCAGAGUCAUCAGAAGACAGAGCAGCGGCGGACCGCCUCUGACCUCUAUCCUGCGAGCUCGGCUGAUCAGGCCGUCCGCCUCUGAAGUUCCCAGCAACAGGUCCACUUUAUGGAACGGCGAGGAUUUGGAGACCGCCUGACGGACUGGAGACCAGAACUGAAACGGGUCGCGGGUGACCAGGAGCUGAGGCACACACAGUCCAGGUCAGAGUAGGUUAGAAAGAACCUGAACCUCCAGAAGAACCUCGCUGCCUGGUGAAGGCCUCACUUUGGUCUGAGCGGCGUUCAGAUCCCGAUACGGCGCCGCUCUGAGGCAGGAGACCAGCUUCUCAUCGGUGGAGUCGGACGUCACGCAGCCCAGUUCUUGAGCCAGAUCCAAGGCCCGGCGCCGAGCGGAGGCGGAGGUUUGGACCAGGGAGGGAGAAAACACGGAACCACCCUGCAGGAGAGGAGAACUCAGCCCGGCUCCUGGUUCUGGUUUCAGGUUCUGCAGCCUGAACUUCUCACCAUCAGCAUCAUCCGCUGGAACAGAGGGCGGGGCUUAGACAGGAGGUGCAGGCUGGUGAUGUCAGCACCGCCUCGCUCCGCCCCCACAGUCACCCGGUUGUAGUCUCCGCCCACCAGCGAGAUAUAGGCAUUGACCCAGCGAAGCACCGCCUCCUGGUCAGUCAGCCCAAAGUUGCCACGGAGACCUGAAGCUCCUGCAGAGGCCCGAGUCACGCGACGGUCUUUGUUUACCUUCUAAAGUGUUUUGGUUUACCUGUGCUGAGGAAACCAAGCGCCGCCGUCCUGUAGCUGGCCGUUACCACGACGAUGUUGCCCACGGCAGCAAGGGCGGAGCCAUCCAACAGUCCUGGCGUCUCAUCGGCUGAUGGGUUGAAGAAGAAAACCAGGACAGGGACACGCCCCCUCUAAUAUACAAACAGGACAGGUGUGAUGAUGUCAUCAUCAGAAAUCACAAACGAUUUAUCCGCCAUGAAGAAUAUUUACAGUUCUGUAAUUCUGAUCAACGAUCAAUAAACACAAACGAUGAACAUUUUAAACUAACAAAGGGGUUCUGAAGGUGGGCGGGACCGACCCGAGCAGCAGGAGUGAAGACGUUCAGGUACAGACAGUCCUCGCUGGAGGCUGAAGACUCGCCGUCGCCUGGCUGCAGACAGCUGGGCCUGAAGGAGGCGGAGCUUCAGUGAUUUAAAGGAAAAGACUUCACGGUCUGAAGAGCUGACGUGACCCUUUAACCGUCUCACCGGGGUUUGGAGGCGUCCCACGUCCCCGUCCAAUCCGCUGGUUGCGCUGCUUCAAAGCGCAGCCCUCCGAUUGGUGGGCGGGCGUACGGCACGCCGAGGAACUGAAUGACUCUCCUCCUGUCAGAACCCACCGUUGUUUCCACGGCAACACCCUCCAGUACCCCUUGACCCGGUAUGGAAACAGAUGUAACCGACGGUAGUUUCUCUGAAAAAAGAGCCAAGAAUGACAUACUGGAGGGAAAGUGCUGCUCUGUGAUUG